UCUGCGUUGCACUUUAAUGAAGGCAGAGGGGAACAUUGGCUGGAGGUGUUUGUAUGUAAUCAUGUCACAUUUCCAAAGAGGCAUGAGCAGAAGAGGCAGCAGAUCGCCUCUGACUUCUCCAGCAGAUGUUUGGAAAUGGUGCUAAUGUAGUGGAUUAUGUCUGUGGGUGAGCAAGCAGUGAGAAGCUCUGAUACUAAUGAGAACUGAGUUAACUUUGGUGAAAUGUGCUUUUGAUUUCCUGCACAAAGAAAUGCACGAGCGUCUCUCCUCUUUGCCCAGUUUCAAGGUCUGUGCUUUUUAUUGUUUUAUACUGAGCUUUUAGUAAUCAGCGCUCCAUAAAAGGCACUUUUUGCCCCGUUCUUGUUCCUUCUACCUCCGAACUGAUCUUGACGCGCCAUAAGAGGAAAGAUUGUGACCUGAAUGUCUUCCAUGUUUGAUAAUCCAGACAAAGAAUUCAUGUCACGCUACAGACAGUGGAGGAAGAGGAUUAUGUCUCACAGCAACAUUCGAGCAGUUUUAAUAGGAAAAAAAAAA